rnacentral:lncRNA from 1 species
UUUUUUUUUCCUCAGGAUCGGUUGCAUUUACAUAUAUUAAAAAAAAAAAAAAGUGCUUUCUAUCAAACAACAAAUAUAUACCUGCAAAGGCAAACCCAACUGGCUGUGUCAGAUAAAGGAAGUAUUUCUUUUCAGAUGAAUUGGAUACUUAUUUUACAAACUCUUACUUUGUUAUCCAGGACACUGUAAUUACGAUGUAAUGAGGCAAGUCUAAAUUCAAAAUACUUUUAAACUUGUCUAUGUAAUCUCAGUGUAAAAUAAGGUACUGGUCGAAGAGCAUUGCUGUAGCUUUGCCUAACAGUUAUGAAUUGUAUUUAGCCAUUGCUUUUUGAAUGUUUAUUAUUUUGCUAUGACUUUCUUCUCAUAUUUUGCUGUGCCAGCAUUUGUGAAUGCCAGCGUUGGAAAGUAACUGCUGUCAUACAUUUGUGAGUAAAAUCAGUCUAUAAUUUCCUCUUGGUAGUGAUGCAGGCUUCUUACCAAAUAAGACAAAAUUGCCAUAGGCAUACUGUCAGUUCUGAGUGUUUCACUGCUAUUUGGGCUCUAUCUUACACCAGAUAGAUGUUCAUGUGUCACUAGUCCCCUUCCUGGCUAUGAAAGCAUCAGGGAUGAACAUGGGUGGACAAACACAUGUGUGGCUGCAGUGUGCCAGUGCAUGGCAACCUCCAGCUGCCUCUUCUGAGGCUCUGAGCCGAGUGUUCUCAGCUAAUGUUCAAGCGGCUUUUACACCUCUCCAAACCAAUGGAGAGCUGUAAAACCAUGGAGGCAGGCCAGGCAAAGAGCACCACAGAAUCUAGAGGCUGCAUUUUCAGGCAUCUUCACAGACACCUGCUAUGAAUUGCACUUUUUUUGUUUGCAAUUUAGGGGCUUUACAGAAUCCAGCCUCUCAUUUGCAACCUUGCACGUUUUUUCGGGCUUGCAUAUUGCCAGUGUUAUGCCCUGUCUUCUAGUGUGCCAGGUACUUUGUCUUGCAUAAGGAAUUAUGAUUCAGAUCUCUCAGUCAGUAAUGAACCUUUUGAGGUACAAAUAUCUGUCAGAGCUUGAUAAGGGCAACACAAAUAAUUAUGUCCAGCUGCACUGGCUUCAGAGGCUCUGUGCAUGGGUAUCUGGCUAUGAGAUUCACAUCUCUUUCAUCUCUUAAAUCAGAUCUGUAUUAAAUAUAUCCCUAUUUCCUUUUGUUACUAAGACUGCAAUGUGCAUCAUAAUUUUAAAUUUGACUCUAAUCCUGCAUGGGUCUUCUCAAUGUUGUCCUGAUGGAUGUUCUGCACAGACUUCAUUUUAAUCUUAGAUGAGCCUUUUUGCCCAGAUUUACUGAACCAUUCUUACUCAAUAUUGCAUAUGAUUAGGUUUAAGCAAGAUCUCUUCAAGUGAAAGGAGCUGAAACACACAUUAAGGUGAGAUACCGAGUAGGACAAAAAUCGAGAGUCCCUAUGUUCCUGAAUUGUACUCUUCACAUUAAACAGAAUUUAAGGUUUGGCUGAAUUUACAGUCAAAGUGUCAUACCUACCGUGGUGUCAAAGGGGUUUCAGCCUGUAUUGAGAAUCGAUAAGGAGUAUCCCCGUUUUUUAAGUGGGAAUUAACUGAUACACACGCUUUCCUCAUGUCUCUGCACAUGGGUAAAUUCAGGACUGUAGAAAUAGGAGGCAUUCCCUAACAUGCAUCCUGCACAUUGAGCAUCACAAGUGCUUAAUUUUACAACUAGCCAAAAGCACAAGAUACUUAUUUUCGUUACAGCAUUUCACUACUCACAGUGCUUCUUGUAAUGACAUAUGGCAUGUGUGUUAAUGAAAAGUGAAACAUCUUGCAGUCCUGAUAGCUGCGACACACAUUAGUCAAAAAGAACACGAUAAUGUUUUCUUCCCUUUGUCUAACUCCAGAAUUACUCUUAAUACUGAAUUCUCUUCUGGUUUCCACUGUCACUCUCUAAAUAACUAUGUUUGAAUUGUAUUACAUAUUAAGCCACCAAAAAAUAAAUACAGCUCAAGAGAUUUUAAUAAAUAGGUAACACUUGGGAGAGUAUCUGCAUUUAAAAUAGAGAAUACUUGUAGGUGAGAAACCCUUCCUGGACCAGUGCAAUUUUUCAAGUCCCUCUCCCUUCUCCAGAUUCAUCACCAUCCCUUUCACCUCCAUACAGUACAAUAUGAAGUCUGCAUGCAGGAGGCUGGUGCGCUACAGGCAGGGAAGUGAAUUAAAACUAUUGCUGCAUAGUGCUAUUUCCAACUGUUUAAAGUGGGCCUCCUUUUACUGAUUAUUGUGAAUUCAUUCAAACUGCAUGUGCAAUUGCUUAAGUUUUAGUCAGUAAAUAGCCACUGUUGCUGCAGCUUUCAGAAAAGGCUGCUAGAUACAAACCAUGAAGCAGUAUUUUUGUGUUGCUCCUAUGUCACUGAGAUCAAGUUCAGCCCUUAAAAUUGGUUUAGAGAUCCUGGUUAUUAUCAACACUACAGUGAUUUUCUCCCCUGAAAGUCAUGUUAUACCCUUUUGAGAGAAGGGCACUGAUGCUUUCAGGAGGAGUAUAAUGUACUUCAUUAAAUAGCCAGUAACAGCCAUAGGGGUUGGGGUUCUUUUCAUUUCUGUACAGAAAGUAUUACUACUACCUUGCAAAAUUAAGCAGUUUGCACUUCAUCAUUUCAAUUAAUCUUUCCUAAAUUACCCAGUACUUUGUAAUUAUAAUAUUUGCAGCUAAUUUAGUGCCAUGCUAAAAAUCACUGGUUGCAUAAUCUGAGCAAUUAACAUUUAUUCAGGGUUUUUUCCUGUUGCAGGGGGAUGUAUAAAUUACCCUCCCUGGCCUUUCUGUACACCUCAUUAGCACCUGCCUAAAUUAUUCUACAGGCUGUGGACAUUUCAUUUGAAAAAUAAAUGUGUUGCUGGUUUUGUGAGCUCCUUGCAAACACACAGCUGUAAAAAUUGCUUUUCAGGGAAACAUGAAAACAUGUUUUCAUAUUUCUUCUGGGUUUAUGAGCUAGGCAUUUAGGCUCUUACACCUAGAGCAGGUGCUGACAUUUUUAAGGCACUUCAAAUGGAGACUGUCAGAUACCUCUUCCCUAUAAUGAACUACAGUAUCCCAGAUUUGUAGCCUGGUUUAUUCAGAAUUGAAAAAGGAAAGCAAUAAGGCACCAAGAAUACAGAUCCAAGUGUAACUUUCACAUUUAUAUAUGCAUA